rnacentral:rRNA from 1 species
AUUGAACGCUGGCGGCAUGCCUUACACAUGCAAGUCGAACGGCAGCACGGGUGCUUGCACCUGGUGGCGAGUGGCGAACGGGUGAGUAAUGCAUCGGAACGUACCCGGAAGUGGGGGAUAACGUAGCGAAAGUUACGCUAAUACCGCAUAUUCUGUGAGCAGGAAAGAGGGGGAUCGCAAGACCUCUCGCUUUCGGAGCGGGCGGUGUCGGAUUAGCUAGUUGGCGGGGUAAGAGCCCACCAGGGCGACGAUCCGUAGCGGGUCUGAGAGGAUGAUCCGCCACACUGGGACUGAGACACGGCCCAGACUCCUACGGGAGGCAGCAGUGGGGAAUUUUGGACGAUGGGCGCAAGCCUGAUCCAGCCAUGCCGCGUGAGUGAAGAAGGCCUUUGGGUUGUAAAGCUCUUUCGGCUGGGAAGAAAUCGCAUCUCCUAAUACGGGGUGUGGAUGACGGUACCAGCAUAAGAAGCACCGGCUAACUACGUGCCAGCCGCCGCCGUAACAC